UACGUAGGGUGCGAGCGUUAAUCGGAAUUACUGGGCGUAAAGCGUGCGCAGGCGGUUUUGUAAGUCAGAUGUGAAAUCCCCGGGCUCAACCUGGGAACUGCGUCUGAAACUACAAGGCUAGAGUGUAGCAGAGGGGGGUGGAAUUCCACGUGUAGCAGUGAAAUGCGUAGAGAUGUGGAGGAACACCGAUGGCGAAGGCAGCCCCCUGGGUUAACACUGACGCUCAGGCACGAAAGCGUGGGUAGCAAACAGG
rnacentral:rRNA from 1 species